UUUUAAAUGAAAAUGUUUCUACCAAAAGUAAAUUCAUGGUUAUUCACUUUUUUUCAAUUUAGCCUCUGUACAUGCAGUGCCAUAUUGGGCAAUUAUUUGCUUUAUGACUGGUUGUUUUGAGGAUCUUUCUGUUAUGGGAAGGUAUCCUGUAAUCCUUGGGCACACACACACACUCCUCCUUCCACUCAAACCACCAAUGGCCUCUCGGUAUUCACAUGAAGCAUUAACAUAGGGUAAUGAGUAAACAAAUCAUCCACAGGCAGAAAGAUCUGGCAAACAGUUGUUUUAGUUCAAUAAUGGCAGGCAGCAGACAGACAAGUAAAGGGAGAAUUCUGACAUAUAUUCAGAAAAUGGGAAAUACAGUGAGCUGAUAUGGCAGGAUGAUUUGAACACAGAUGGACAUCCUCUCCAGCACAGACAAGACCAACAACAAGAUACAGUAAGGAGAAUGUGACCUUUUUGGGGAAAAGCCAGAGAAUAUCUGCUCUCCUAUACAAAUCAAUCCAGGAGCUUUUGGCAGAUUGUAGAUUUUAGUAUACAUUUUCCAUUGUCCAGUGUUCAUGUUCAUGGUGAGAGAUGGGCUGAGUUUGAUUCUACAGAUUGAUUGAAGUGGGUCUGGUCAUGCUCAGUGCUCUUCUACUGGCAGUUGACGUUGGUGUGGGAGUCCAAAUGGAAAGCUGUUGCCAUUGUUUGCCAGGAUGGGAAUUGCUAAACUCAGUGUGUUACUACUUUCCCUUGUCUGACUCCAUUCCUCUGAAAACGUGGGAAAGAAGCAGAGAACUGCAUUAAACAAGGCGCUGACCUGGCAAUUAUAGAGUGUAGAGAAGCAGGCAUUCAUAAGUAAGAUGAUACACGAAGUGCAGUUUAACUCCGAACCUAUGCACAUGAAAGGGUUCUGGAUAGGACUGAAGGAGGAAGAGGAUACAGAGGGGACCUGGAAAUGGGUUAACGGGACUGAGCUGACUCGGGGGUAAAAGCUGCACAAGUCAUUGGACUGGAUUCAGGACAAGACCAGAAUGUCUAGAAAGUAACCUUUAACUUGGUUUAAAGGUACUGGCAAGAGACAGCCCAAUGACCACUAUGGAAUGGAGGACUGUGCAGCCAUCUAUUCCAAAAUAAAUUCCAUGAGGUCCUGGAAUGAUGCUCCGCGUACACAUCCAUUGAAAUGGAUAUGUGAAAUACAAUCAAGGAAGGCUUUGACUGUAAAAUGUCAAUUAUUUCAAUAAGUAAAUACAUACAUUCAAA